AAAUAACUAAUAAUAGAAUAAAAUAGCUAUGAAAUUAGACCUAAAUUACUAUGCAAAAUGUAUGCAUCAGGCAGCCAAAUUCAUUCCAAAAUUGAGUCCCUUAAACACUCAGGGAUUGAAGGAUUCUCUCUAAUGAACCAUUUUAAUUCUUCCACAACAAGUCACAAACACCAAGGCCAAAACACUGAUAAACAUCAAUCCAUUAGCUCCUUAUGGCAGCAGAACAGCGUUAUCAAUAUCUCACACUGAAAAAUAAAUACUGCAAAUAAAAUCAUACCCAUGACAUUCAUUUGCUAGCAUAAACGCCUACCAAGAAAUGGGGGGUGUGAUUCCCCCUUACAAGCUCCCCUAUCCUGUUCUGUGCUUUUCUAAUAGGCAACAAUAUAGCAACCCAAGGAGGAUUCCACCAACUUGUAAAAUUAGAAUUUAAAAACAAUUAGAUUAGAACUCCACGUGGAUGCUCAACAUAACAAACAAGUGUCACACGCUCAGUUUACAUGCAUACGUCAAAGGCCUUCCCUCUUCUGAGGACUUGAUCAUUACAGCCUAUCAUUCAUUCUCUUUUACAUCUUGGAAGUCUGUCUAUAAGAUAAUAGGUACUAUAAAACAUUAAGCCACCAAGGCUUAAAAGUACCUUCACAACACACAAAUGUGUUUAUUCAGCUGGCUCACAUGCCAUUCCUACUUUUCUCAACAAGAUUUCACCCAACAGACUUAAACCCCAAGCUUACGCUCUACGGAAAAUCUGUGAAAAGCAGGCAGCUAACAUGCACCGCAAAGCCUACUACAUUUGCAUAUUCAGCAAGCAAUUUGCUUAAGCUGGAGAGCCUGCUUGUUCGCAAAGGUCUAAUAGAUCCAGGGUCUCAGGAACUGAGAAUUCAAGACGAAACUUUGGGCCAUCAUAAUGGUGCAAUACUGGCCUAAAAGCGUCCUCUUCCAAUGCCUUGCAGAGU
rnacentral:misc_RNA from 1 species